rnacentral:piRNA from 1 species
UGUGUCUUACGGCAGUACUGCCUGGCUUC